AGUCAUCAGCUCACAGACUGUGACAGCUGAGGUCAAGAACAAGAAAGAAGUGAGACAGAGAAGAACAAUGGAUGGACUCAGACUGAUUAAAAUGUUUUUAUGUCUGAUGCUGAUGAUUCAGAUUGCAGAAUUCUCAACAGUAUCUGUAAGUGAAACCACCAUUUUUAUGGAAGUUGGAGAUGACGUCACUCUGCCUUGUCUAAAUGUGAUAGAUGACCAGAGAAACUGCGAUGGUACUACGUGGACCUUUGCUUCAAGAAACAGAACACCAAUAGAAGUGAUCAGCUUUGGACAGAUUGGUGAAAAAGCCAAAAAUGCAUCAGACAGACUGAGUGUUACAGCGAACUGUUCUCUGGUUAUAAAGACUCUCACAGUCGAGGAUGUAGGUUUUUACUACUGUAAACAAUACAAAUUGGAAAACCACAGACACAAAAGUCUGGUUAGCGAGUCUUUGGUUGAUCUCUCUGUACUCACCUUGACUGAACAUGAGGACAAUGAUAAGGUGACAAUAAAUUGCUCUGUGGUGACAUAUGAAAUGUGUCAUCACACAGUGAAGUGCCUGUUUAAAGGUCGAGCUGUGGACAGAGAUAACAGUCAAAUAGUGACUUUACAGACUGGCUGCUCCACCACUGUCUCUUUGCUCAAGUCUCACCAUGUUUACUCAUCAAGAGAUUACCUUUUGGACUGCGAAGUGAAUGAUACUUAUACAGAAGGGAAGCUGUUUACCUUCAGACCUCAGCUAUCAGGUGACAGACAAAGGACAAAUAAUCCAACCAGAAAUCCAGCAGGCUACAGUCAGUCCAAUACCCAAGCUAUCCAUUGGUACGUCGUUGCAGCUGUGGGUUUUGUCUUGCUCUUGAUAACAGCUGCAUCUGUUAUCAGAUGGAGAAAAACAAAAGCGAACAAAACACAGACGGAUGAAGAUACUGUAGAUCAUGAAGUUUCCUAUGCCACCAUCAGCUACAGAAAGAAAACCAAGACUAAAGCCCAGGUUCAGGGUGAUGAUGAAGGUGAUGCAGUGAUCUACAGUGUUUUGAUGGUUUCUUCAUCUCCUGCAGCCACUGCCAAUCCCAGCAACCCACAAUAAAAAAGAAAAUAGAGAAAAUGACAAAAGGAUUUGACCUUUUUAAAAAAAAAAAUAAAAAAAAUGUAAUUGGUGUGUGACUAGAGACUGUUGAAUAGAAAGCAUAAAACUAUUAUAGCAAAUGCUGGGAGUCAGUCGAGAAUCAAGGCUAUCCUUGGGUCAUUCCUACUAUUCAGUGUCAUUUCGAGAUACAUUUCUAAUUUUCCAUAAUUUUAUCAUGUGAUCUGAAAGAAUGCUUGUUAAACUUUUAGAGAAAUACACUGGUCAAGCUCAGAAUAUUAAUAUAUUUUUCCAGGUUUUCCACAUGUGAUGCAGGCCAAACAUCCCACCUGUUAUGGUACAAUCUUAUCUCUGUUACUGUGUUAUUAAUGUACAGUCACUUUUCUAUUUACAUUUCCUAAGAGCUAAAAUGUCCCUGUGUUUACUCUGCAAAUGUAUUUCAGGGGAGUGCUAAUAAAAACGUAUUAUCA
ensembl:lncRNA